GAAUGCUGACAUAAGUAACGAUAAAGCGGGUGAAAAGCCCGCUCGCCGGAAGACCAAGGGUUCCUGUCCAACGUUAAUCGGGGCAGGGUGAGUCGACCCCUAAGGCGAGGCCGAAAGGCGUAGUCGAUGGGAAACAGGUUAAUAUUCCUGUACUUGGUGUUACUGCGAAGGGGGGACGGAGAAGGCUAUGUUGGCCGGGCGACGGUUGUCCCGGUUUAAGCGUGUAGGCUGAUUUUCCAGGCAAAUCCGGAGAAUCAAGGCUGAGGCGUGAUGACGAGGCACUACGGUGCUGAAGCAACAAAUGCCCUGCUUCCAGGAAAAGCCUCUAAGCAUCAGGUAACAUCAAAUCGUACCCCAAACCGACACAGGUGGUCAGGUAGAGAAUACCAAGGCGCUUGAGAGAACUCGGGUGAAGGAACUAGGCAAAAUGGUGCCGUAACUUCGGGAGAAGGCACGCUGAUAUGUAGGUGAAGCGACUUGCUCGUGGAGCUGAAAUCAGUCGAAGAUACCAGCUGGCUGCAACUGUUUAUUAAAAACACAGCACUGUGCAAACACGAAAGUGGACGUAUACGGUGUGACGCCUGCCCGGUGCCGGAAGGUUAAUUGAUGGGGUCAGCGCAAGCGAAGCUCUUGAUCGAAGCCCCGGUAAACGGCGGCCGUAACUAUAACGGUCCUAAGGUAGCGAAAUUCCUUGUCGGGUAAGUUCCGACCUGCACGAAUGGCGUAAUGAUGGCCAGGCUGUCUCCACCCGAGACUCAGUGAAAUUGAACUCGCUGUGAAGAUGCAGUGUACCCGCGGCAAGACGGAAAGACCCCGUGAACCUUUACUAUAGCUUGACACUGAACACUGGUCCUUGAUGUGUAGGAUAGGUGGGAGGCUUUGAAGUGUGGACGCCAGUCUGCAUGGAGCCGUCCUUGAAAUACCACCCUUUAAUGGCUGGUGUUCUAACGUUGGCCCGUAAUCCGGGUUGCGGACAGUGUCUGGUGGGUAGUUUGACUGGGGCGGUCUCCUCCUAAAGAGUAACGGAGGAGCACGAAGGUUGGCUAAUCCUGGUCGGACAUCAGGAGGUUAGUGCAAUGGCAUAAGCCAGCUUGACUGCGAGCGUGACGGCGCGAGCAGGUGCGAAAGCAGGUCAUAGUGAUCCGGUGGUUCUGAAUGGAAGGGCCAUCGCUCAACGGAUAAAAGGUACUCCGGGGAUAACAGGCUGAUACCGCCCAAGAGUUCAUAUCGACGGCGGUGUUUGGCACCUCGAUGUCGGCUCAUCACAUCCUGGGGCUGAAGUAGGUCCCAAGGGUAUGGCUGUUCGCCAUUUAAAGUGGUACGCGAGCUGGGUUUAGAACGUCGUGAGACAGUUCGGUCCCUAUCUGCCGUGGGCGCUGGAGAACUGAGGGGGGCUGCUCCUAGUACGAGAGGACCGGAGUGGACGCAUCACUGGUGUUCGGGUUGUCAUGCCAAUGGCACUGCCCGGUAGCUAAAUGCGGAAGAGAUAAGUGCUGAAAGCAUCUAAGCACGAAACUUGCCCCGAGAUGAGUUCUCCCUGACCCUUUAAGGGUCCUGAAGGAACGUUGAAGACGACGACGUUGAUAGGCCGGGUGUGUAAGCGCAGCGAUGCGUUGAGCUAACCGGUACUAAUGAAC
rnacentral:rRNA from 1 species